UGCCGCUACUGUAGAUGGCACCGUGUUACGAACACUCGUAAAUUAUAGGAACGUAAUAUUUGUACGGAUUAUCGACGACCGGCAAGAAAUCUUCAACAAAUAAUUACACGUUACGUUGUGAUUUCGCCGUGUUUUAAUCUAUAAAAUCUAACGCUAAAUGUUCAAUAAUCGUGUUGUACUUUAUAAUACCAUUGCGGUAGGAUGUCGGCUCACUAUUUGUUUUCUUUUUGCGUCCCACACGAAACAUUUGGUACGAAUUUAUACACGUACAGCAGAACCAAACUUGUAUCGUUGGCUUAAGCAUUAGAGCGAAUCGACAUGUCAUCAAACUGAAAGUCAAGAACAUUAUCCGCGUUUGCGCGGUGGU